AGUCGGCCUCUCACCAACUCAGCCACCCAGGACCCCCAAGGAAGAAGCGGAUACUUCGCUGCCGGAGCAGCAAGAAGAAAGGUUUUCUCCUUGCGGGGCAACAGCCCAGCCAAUGAGAGGCUGUCACAACUCAGCCAGUGACCGCCGCUACACUUCAAACUCCCGGGUUACUCCAAUGGACUUUUUGUUUAUAACACCUCUUCCCAAUUCCCCCUUUCCUCUAUAAAAGAGCAUUCUUCUCCUUUGUUCUCUGGGCUUGCCUAUGGUUUGCUGAAGCUUGUUUAUUCUGAAUUGCAAUGCUUUGCUACCCUCAAAUAAAUCCAUCUUUCCUGGUAAAAUAA